AUCAGGACCUCCUGAGUCUGUGUCAUGGGCAUGCAUCCUCAACCUUGGCAAAAUAAACUUUCUAAAUUAACUGAGACCUGUCUCAGAUAUUUGCAGUUCACAUUUUGGUAACCACGAAGGGAUUCUGAGUGAAGGUGCCCCUGACCUUUGACAAAUCUCCUAUUGGUGCUUGGUACCAGCUUGAGCUAUCUUUGUGGGUCUAACCAAUAGGACAAUUUGCUGAGGCCUGGAAGUGCUCCCUCCAGAGCAUCCCUGAUCUUCCAAUAUUUGGUCAAGAUCUAAAGUUUAUUGCUGUACAACUCUUUUUUUUUUUUCUUGGAGUUUUACUUGUUUCCAAAACAAGGAAGGCAAGUUUUUCCUGCUUCCAUGACAAUGGAAGGCAGGUAACUCCUGUAUGGAGUUUGAACUCACUUCCAAGAGGAAAGACAAAUUUGAGAUUUUCCUGCUUCUAGGAUGGUAGAGAGCAGUCUUAAGUCUGAGACCUAUCCCUGGGUUCUUGUGACAUUGAGCUACAAGGAUUUGACUCCUGAGUCUCAAAAGGACACCAAGUACUGCCAAAUCUCAAACUCUGACAGCAAUUAAAGCCUCAUCUGCAGGCCCUGUAGAAGAUGCCAAUCAAAAUAAACUGUGUUCCUGAGACACAGGGGCAGAAAUUAAAGCUAUUCAACUCCUCAAGGCCAAGGGAUUAUCAUG
rnacentral:lncRNA from 10 species